UUCCUGGAAAAGGACAGCUGAGAGGGUGAAACUCCCGUCCGCCUGGUAGAAUGAGUCUUUGUCAACGAGUCGAGUUGUUUGGGAUUGCAGCUCUAAUUUGGUGGUAAAUUCCAUCUAAAGCUAAAUAUUGGUGGGAGACCGAUAGCGUACAAGUACCGUGAGGGAAAGAUGCAAAGAACUUUGAAAAGAGAGUUAAAGAGUACCUGAAAUUGCUGAAACGGAAGCGAAGGAAACCAGUGUUUGUUGGUUCAUAUUUCCCUGGCCACUUGUGGUUUGGGCG
rnacentral:rRNA from 1 species